GCACAAGCGGUGGAGCAUGUGGUUAAUUCGACGCAACGCGAAGAACCUUACCGAGGGCUUGACACUCCCCUGACCGCGUAUGAAAGUACGUUUUCACCCUCGGGUGAUAGGGAGACAGGUGGUGCAUGGUUGUCGUCAGCUCGUGUCGUGAGAUGUUGGGUUAAGUCCCGCAACGAGCGCAACCCCUACGUUUAGUUGCUAACAGGUGAAGCUGAGCACUCUAGACGAACUGCCGUUGACAAAACGGAGGAAGGUGGGAUGACGUCAAAUCAUCAUGCCCCUUAUGUUCUGGGCUACACACGUGCUACAAUGGCCGGUACAGACGGAGGCGAAGCCGCGAGGCGGAGCAAAUCCCACAAAGCCGAUCGUAGUCCGGAUUGUUCUCUGCAACUCGAGAGCAUGAAGUCGGAAUCGCUAGUAAUCGCAGGUCAGCAUACUGCGGUGAAUACGUUCCCGGGUCUU
rnacentral:rRNA from 1 species